GACGAACGCUGGCGGCGUGCUUAACACAUGCAAGUCGAACGGUGAAGCGCCUUCCUUUUUGGUGGGUGUGGAUGAGUGGCGAACGGGUGAGUAACACGUGAGUAACCUGCCCCCUUCUUCUGGAUAACCGCAUGAAAGUGUGGCUAAUACGGGAUAUUCUGGGUCUGUCGCAUGAUGGGUCUGGGAAAGAUAUUGUUUCGGUGGGGGAUGGGCUCGCGGCCUAUCAGCUUGUUGGUGGGGUGAUGGCCUACCAAGGCGGUGACGGGUAGCCGGCCUGAGAGGGUGGACGGUCCCACUGGGACUGCGCCACGGCCCAGACUCCUACGGGAGGCAGCAGUGGGGAAUAUUGCACAAUGGGCGCCAGCCUGAUGCAGCGACGCCGCGUGAGGGAUGGAGGCCUGCGGGUUGUGAACCUCUUUCGCCAGUGAAGCAGGCCUGCCUCGUUUGUGGGUGGGUUGACGGUAGCUGGAUAAGAAGCGCCGGCUAACUACGUG
rnacentral:rRNA from 1 species